GACGAACGCUGGCAGCGUGCUUAACACAUGCAAGUCGAGCGAUGAAACUCCUUCGGGAGUGGAUUAGCGGCGGACGGGUGAGUAACACGUGGGUAACCUGCCUCAUAGAGGGGAAUAGCCUUCCGAAAGGAAGAUUAAUACCGCAUAAGGUUGUAGUUUCGCAUGAAACAGCAAUUAAAGGAGCAAUCCGCUAUGAGAUGGACCCGCGUCGCAUUAGCUAGUUGGUGAGGUAACGGCUCACCAAGGCGACGAUGCGUAGCCGACCUGAGAGGGUGAUCGGCCACAUUGGGACUGAGACACGGCCCAGACUCCUACGGGAGGCAGCAGUGGGGAAUAUUGCACAAUGGGGGAAACCCUGAUGCAGCAACGCCGCGUGAGUGAUGAAGGUCUUCGGAUUGUAAAACUCUGUCUUUGGGGACGAUAAUGACGGUACCCAAGGAGGAAGCCACGGCUAACUACGUG
rnacentral:rRNA from 1 species